CCUACGGGGCGCAGCAGUGAGGAAUAUUGGUCAAUGGGCGGGAGCCUGAACCAGCCAAGUCGCGUGAGGGUAGAAGGUACUGAGUAUUGUAAACCUCUUUUGCCAGGGGACAAAGGCGGCCACGGGUGGCCGUAAGAGGGUACCUGGAGAAAAAGCAUCGUCUAACUCCGUGCCAGCAGCCGCGGUAAUACGGAGGAUGCGAGGUUUAUCCGGUUUUAUUGGGUUAAAGGGGUGCUCAGGCGGCGUGUAAAGCCAGCGGUAAAUUGUCGGGGCAAAACGCCGGCGGGCCGUUGAAACUGGCGUGCUCGAAUGGGGAUGAAGUGGGAGGAAUGUGUGGUGUAGCGGUGAAAUGCAUAGAUAUCACACAGAACACCGAUUGCGAAGGCAGCAUACGGACUCGAGACUGACGCUGAGGCACGAAAGCGUGGGUAUCGAACAGGAUUAGAUACCCCAGUAGUC
rnacentral:rRNA from 1 species